AGGCAUAUUCCUGAGGUAAGCACCCAGAAAUUUGAUUCUCCAGCUGUCUCCCAGCUUAUUUCCUCGCUAUUAUAGGGAAGCUGCCAUGGGGUGCUUCUAACCAAGUAUUGGGCAGCAGUAACUGCCCACACAGAUUUUAUGUGAUUUAUUAUUACCUGAAAACUUAAAAGAAGGCCUGAAGGAAUCUUCCUGGAGUUCAUUACCAUGUACUAAAAACAGACCUUUUGAUUUUCAUUCAGUGAUGGAAGAGUCUCAGUCUCUCAAUGAACCUAGCCCAAAGCAGUUGGAUGAACCCACGGAUGCAGAGCCUGUGGAUACGGAGGGCCAACUGUGCUGGCAAAAAUCAUUUACUUGUCACAGUGUUGGAAUCAAAGUGAAGAAAUACCAGAGGUCACUUCAGAGCCUGUCAAAGGAAGCUUAAACCGUGCUCAGUCAGCACAGUCUAUAAAUUCAACAGAAAUGCCUGCCAGAGAGGACUGUUUAAAAAGAGUGUCCUCAGAACCUGUUCUGUCAGUUCAAGAAAAAGGUGUUCUGCUGAAAAGAAAGUUGUCUCUUUUAGAACAGGAUGUGAUUGUAAAUGAAGAUGGAAGAAAUAAGCUGAAAAAACAAGGAGCUUAUGGUGAUAUUCCAGAAGAAUUAAUCGAUGUCUCAGAUUUCGAGUGUUCUCUCUGCAUGAGGU
rnacentral:lncRNA from 1 species